UGGGGAAUUUUGGACAAUGGGCGGAAGCCUGAUCCAGCCAUUCCGCGUGAGUGAAGAAGGCCUUCGGGUUGUAAAGCUCUUUCAGCAGGAACGAAACGGUCUUUCCCAAUACGGAAGGCUAAUGACGGUACCUGCAGAAGAAGCACCGGCUAACUACGUGCCAGCAGCCGCGGUAAUACGUAGGGUGCGAGCGUUAAUCGGAAUUAUUGGGCGUAAAGCGUGCGCAGGCGGCUACAUAAGACAGAUGUGAAAUCCCCGGGCUUAACCUGGGAACUGCGUUUGUGACUGUGUGGCUAGAGUGUGGCAGAGGGGGGUGGAAUUCCACGUGUAGCAGUGAAAUGCGUAGAUAUGUGGAGGAACACCGAUGGCGAAGGCAGCCCCCUGGGUUAACACUGACGCUCAUGCACGAAAGCGUGGGGAGCAAACAGG
rnacentral:rRNA from 1 species